rfam:Erythranthe guttata cultivar DTN x IM62 scaffold_566_contig_1, whole genome shotgun sequence.
GGGUGCGAUCAUACCAGCACUAAUGCACCGGAUCCCAUCAGAACUCCGAAGUUAAGCGUGCUUGGGCGGGAGUAGUACUAGGAUGGGUGACCCCCUGGGAAGUCCUCGUGUUGCACCCC